rnacentral:lncRNA from 1 species
AUAUUGUUCGUUUGACUUUGAAACCUAAGCCAAGGUAUCCUGCAGAAGCCCCAAGAGCAUUUUGAGAACAUCAGUCAGUUCCUGGCUAGUCAGGCAUGCACAUUUUCUCUUCAAGGCACUUUUGAUAAACAAAGCAUCAAAGGCAAUAUACCAAAAGUACAUGAAAUUUUUAAUAUCUUGGAAAAAGUGGUUAAGAUAACUCACAAGGCAGGGGGAAGAGUGUGCUGGCUAUUCAAACGGUAUUUCAGAGCAUCCCUGACAUUGCCCUCUUGGACUUCGCAGAUCCUCCAAUAAACCAGUUCAGUUUUGUUCCUUCAUCUGAAUCUUUCCGCUUGGUAUUUGGUCUUUGCCCUUCACUCUUCUUGCUGUUCCCCAUCUGCAGAUGCCACUGGUAAGAUUCAUCUCAAACUAUGAGGUUAAGAUUUGGAUUCAGCUGUGAAACAUGCCUUCUGCAAA